ensembl:lncRNA
AACACUUGCUUGCCAACUGCCAAGCCAUACUUAUUAAGUUCGAACAUGUUUCACUUAAGGAGAGACACCUAGCUUAGUCAUGGCAAGUUGCCAUUUUGUAAACUAAGGAUUUUGGAUUGAGAUUUCUUAAACCUUUCUUCAAAUCUCCCACAAAUAUAUACUUUUAAAUUAUGGAGUAUUUUAAGUCUACAAAAAGGUAUAAAUAAUAAUAUAAUGAAUUCAUAUAUACCUAAUACCCAGUUUAAGACACCAAAUAUAACAAGUAUAAUUACAUCCUCCAAUGUACCCUUUCCUUAUUCCACAGAUAUCUUUUUCAUUAUUGUGAAGUGAUGUUCAGAUUUCUAGUUUUUUUUCUAAUUUUUAUUUUUAACAUCAGAACUGAAAUAAAAAAUUAUGGAUACAUGUUUUGAAUUGCAAACUAUUCCUCAGGAAUUCCAAUUAAAUUUAUUUUACUUGAAUAGGAAUGAUCAUAAAAGUGAUUCUUUUUUUGUGACUAGAAAUUCUUAAGCCGAUGGUCACUAUAGCUCAUCCUUAAUGUAUGGCUCAUUUGCUUUUGUCACUAAACGGUUUUGUGUUAGAACCACCAAAAUUAUAGCUUUUAAGAGCUUCCUUUGACCACUGUCUUUUUCUUACCCUACUUCUCUUAUCUUUGAUCGUAUAUUUCUCAUAAUGUGAAAUAUGAUGAGAUUCACUUAGGGGCAGCAUGUUAGUUUUGGGAGGCAAUGUCAACUGUGUCUCUGAAUUCCUGUCUUCCAAAUUGAAGCCAGACCAUGCUGAUUACCUCAAGUAGCACUGACUAUUUGACAAUAGGGCUGAUAAUGUAAUCGGCUUGAAUUUUGACUUAGUAACUUUUUAUGUAAUAUUUUCAGAGAAAUUCUCUUUAGGACAAAGCAAAGAGUCCAAUUUAUUGAGGGAUAGAUUGUAUCUCUUAAAGUGGUCAUAUUAUUAUUAAUUUUGCCAAAAGAAGAAGAAUUUAUUGAAUAUUUAUACUAUAAAAUGCAGUAACAUUCUACUUGCUUAUUACAUUUAAUUCCUUGUGUAACUGAAUGUUUACAUGUCAAGAGGAAAAGCUGUAAGAAAAUGCUGUCACAGACCCAUCCCUGUGGCAUCGUCAGCAUUAUACUGCUUGCUUACAAUCUUUAUUAUGCAUUCUUAUAACAUAACCUCAGAGUAUCUUUACCAAAGGUUUUUAAAGUAAAUCUCUUUUUAAGAUAGACUUACUCUUUUAUAAUAAUGGAUGUGCACUCAUACAUAUGUAGAAAUAUUUAGAUUUAGAGGCUUUUUUUUUCUUUCACAAGGUAUAAUAAGGAAAGGAUCCUACAAUAUUUUAUUCUAGGGUUUCUUAAAUAUAUGAUUUAUGUUACUGUCUUUUCUACUAAUCAUUUGAUUUAAACAAUGCCAAGUCACUCUUUUUUAGUUGCAUGAAAUUUUGCCUGCAACAGAGAGAAAAAGAUUGUAUUACUUUAAUGAUUAUAAUCAUACUGUCUGCUGAUAUAAUAUCAUAAUUGUUGUGGUUUAAAUACAUAAAUAGUAGAAAAAUCAGAGUCUAUAACAGAAAGUUUGUAAAAAUAUACUGAUUUUGAAAAGUAUCAAGAAUAUCAAUAUUUGGUAAUUCUGUGUAACAAGAGAGACAUGGAAAAGGAAAAAAAUCCACUAUAUCAUGGGCUCUGCAGAACAUAUCAAAAUAGGAUUUCUUAAAUUUUUCAAUCCCCAGACCAUACUGACUCAACAUGGAGUCUCACUGGCAAAGAAAAUUGCCUUUAAAACUCAAAAAUAAGGCCAGGUGUGGUGACUCACACCUGUAAUCCCAGCAAUUUGGGAGGCUGAGAUAGGAGGAUUGCCUGAGGCCAGGAGUUUGACACCAGCCUGGGCAACAUAGUGAGACCUUGUCUCUAUAAAAAAAUAAAAUAAAAUAAAAACCAAAUUAGCCAGACAUGGUGGCAUGCGCUUGUUUAAAAAAAAAAAUAAAUAAAUAAUUGACUCAAAAAUAAGUCCUGUGUCCCAGCAUAAGGCGUCAGGUUGUUAGAUGCUGGCAUCUCUGCAGCUCAAAGAUGUGGGUUCUUUUUCUUGUCAUUAACACAUUGUUAUUUCUGUAGGAGCAACUUCUCUGAUCAAAAUUACUUUUCUGGGUAUGUGCUGAUUAAGGGGGUGGACUUAUCAACACUAUAAUUGUUCCCUAUGAAAGAUUCUGCAGAGAUGUUUAUGGUGAGGUUUAAAGGAUAUGAAACUCUACAUUUAAACGAGUAUUUUAUAUUUGGGUACAGAGGAAGAAAGAGAGGGCUUUUUCCAUGGGGCUAUAGUAGAGAGUUAGUGGAAUAUAGACAGGACUCUGAAAACACAACUUCCAACCGUUUUUAUAGUUAGUAAAAAUCCUAUUAAUGUGAACCAGCCAGGAAUAACAGUGUUAUUUCUAUUUGAUGUGGUUUGGGCUUCUCUUGUCAAAUCUGUGUCGGCUGCCCCCUGAUCCUUCCAUUAUCAAGUUUUGAAGGGUGUUGGGGAAAUUAUGGCAGCUGCUAGGGAGAUCAGGGAAACACUGAUGUAACCUCAAAGCCUCUCACCAUUGCUCUUGGCUUGGAAAUGCUUUAUUUUUUCAUAUACAUUUCUAGAAAUAUUGCUAUUCUACCUUAGUAUUUCACAUUUGUAGUUCAAACAAGCGAUUGUCCAUCUGUUGCCUAGAGCUAUAGUACAUGUGUGUUAUGAAUGAAAUAUGACAGCAUGUUCCAUACCCCUGCUUUAGCCAUCUGUGGGAAACCAGCAAACUGAAAAAGAUACCUCUGCAAAAUGUGCCUCAAGUCCAUUUCUUGGGAUCGCUCGUUUGGUGCACUCUCGUGGGAGACAAUCAGAGAACAACAUAUACUUGUGCCUUAUUUUCAAAGAAUCUGUUUACACUACUAGGAAUAUUCCACUGAAGAGUCAAUGAUGUAAAUGAUAACCACCAAAUCUCAAAAAUAUACUCACCAAAAAGUAAAAAAGUAAAAAAAAAAAAAAAAA